rnacentral:rRNA from 1 species
GUACUGCGGAGGACAUUA